rnacentral:rRNA from 1 species
GACGAACGCUGGCGGCGUGCCUAAUACAUGCAAGUCGAGCGGACUGAUUAAGAGCUUGCUCUUAUGACGUUAGCGGCGGACGGGUGAGUAACACGUGGGCAACCUGCCCUGUAGAUCAGGAUAACACCGAGAAAUCGGUGCUAAUACCGGGUAAUAUCUGAGAUCACAUGAUCUUAGGUUAAAAGAUGGCUCCGGCUAUCACUACAGGAUGGGCCCGCGGCGCAUUAGCUAGUUGGUAAGGUAAUGGCUUACCAAGGCGACGAUGCGUAGCCGACCUGAGAGGGUGAUCGGCCACACUGGGACUGAGACACGGCCCAGACUCCUACGGGAGGCAGCAGUAGGGAAUCUUCCGCAAUGGACGAAAGUCUGACGGAGCAACGCCGCGUGAGUGAUGAAGGGUUUCGGCUCGUAAAGCUCUGUUGUUAGGGAAGAAACAGUACCGAACGAACUAGGUCGGUACCUUGACGGUACCUAACCAGAAAGCCACGGCUAACUACGUG